GUUUUAUUAUAGUUCUUAUUAAUUAAUUACUAAUUGUAAAAUUAUAUUGUGGUAAAUAAACCAAAGUAUUUGAUUCAAUGGAAUACCUUAUUGAGAUUAUCAACACGACGUUGCAGUGGAUGGAUUCUCGUGAGUUUAGUGUCCAGGUAAAUUUCCGCACAACGAGAAAGGCAGAGUUUCAGGGGCACGGGGCUCGAACUUUCGCAAAGCUAGCGACUUUGCAGAUUCCUCCAAGAAUGAACAGCCUGAGACAUGCCCAAAGGUCAGGAUCAGGACUAAUGACAUUAGUCGUUAGAUCUGUCGAAUGUUAAUCAUAUUUUUUCUACAACGUAUUGUUUAUGGGUUCGUUUGAAUUGUAAACUUCAUUCUUUCUCUCAAAUGAUAGAAUAACUAAUCUUUUUGAUUUAAAAUUUUGCC
rnacentral:lncRNA from 1 species